UGAAACUAAGCGGUUGUCCUUUAACACUGAUGUUCAAGUGUCAGUCAUUGGAUAUCUACUUACUGUGCAUUGAUGGACACCCAAUCAAUCUGAGGGUCUUUGAAGAAGAUAUCACAAGCAUUAUCCAUCUCCAUUAAACUCCAGAAUCUCAAGGGCUGAAUCCAUUUUCUCUCUGUAUCAAUUGUAAUCUGGACUGAUUAGUGUGUGAUUAGAAUGCAUGACUGUAACUCUCCCUGCCCAGUAACUCAAAGCCCAGAAGCAUCAAUGAUAGGUCAGCUUCUACAGCAAAUGGAUGAGAUUGAAGGAGUCAAUUCUUGUUCCUUGUGAGAUAGAAGAGGCUUAUGGAUCAGACUCAAACUGUGUGAAAAUCUACAGACUUUGUGCAGAAAGUAAAACUCCUUUAUGUUCAAAGUAGGCAUCGAAAAAACGAAGUGAAGAGAAGGAGACAAGAGACAGAAGAAGAUUGCCACACGAACAUAACCCAUCCGUUCCCUGUCAGAAGAAGCCAGUAAUUUAUAACACACAUUAGGAACACAGAUCACAGAUAGUGUUUGAGUGAAGCUAUCAGUGCAGAAGUGAAUAUCAAAGCCAAGGAGACAUCAGAGAGCCCCAUCAGCAGACAAGCAACAGUCUCAACGGUGUGCUAGAGCUCUGAAACAUUAAUGACAGAUGUCACCG